rnacentral:rRNA from 1 species
CCGUAGCCCAAGAGAUCGGGAUAACACCUGGAAACAAGAUGCUAAUACCGGAUAACAACAGAUGAUGCCUAUCAACUGUUUAAAAGAAUGGUUCUGCUAUCACUCUUGGAUGGACCUGCGGUGCAUUAGCUAGUUGGUAGGGUAACGGCCUACCAAGGCGAUGAUGCAUAGCUGAGUUGAGAGACUGAUCGGCCACAUUGGGACUGAGACACGGCCCAAACUCCUACGGGAGGCAGCAGCA